CUCACCAAAGCGCGUUCGAAUUUAAAUCUCCCGCCAUCUGUGUAUUCAUGUGGAUGUAUAAAUAUUAGCAUGUUUAUUCUAAAGUCAAAAAGAGAAAGAGUAGGCAAAAGGAAGCCGAAAACAAACACACAGUAAUCGAAAUUGGCAACCAGGAACUAGACUACAGCGGAGGUAUGAAGGCAAGCUUUUAUAUGCUUAGCGAAACACCAUGGAUCAAGCAAAAGAAAUACUUGUGUUAUGGAAGACAACUAAAAUGGAAGAGCUCAUUCAUACAGGCUGUGUGUAAUGUUUGUUUCGCAAUAUGUUUUCGAUUGUGAAUUAGACACAUCUUCAAAUCGAUCUGUAACAUGGGCCCUGGUAUUCCACUAUAACUAUGUCGAUGAUGUUUAAAUUUAAUUAUCAGGAUUUCACUAUAAUUUAUUGAAAUUUAGCAGACACCUAUCAUGGAAGCGUGAAAAGCGGAUCUUCUCCCGCGUGGAUUAUAGGGAUGUUGUGAACUAGUAAUUGAUUCAUUUCUACAUUAGUGGCCAAAGUGGAAUGAGUUAGAUGAUAUCUGCAAAAAUAUGCCCCAGGUACGGGCCAGUAUGGACAUGGAAGUUGCAUCAAGACAAUGUCUCCUAACCGGCAAUGCGUUUGCACAUUAAACUUAGGGAUACGUUAUGGUCCAGGUUCGAACCCGGGCAUAGGAGCACUUCCUUUCGCGCUGGGAGCCAGCCAUCCGAUGAAAUGCUUAGCGGCGACGCUGGACGCAAAACUCGAAACAUCGUUUUAGUAUUCGGCAAAAUCUAAGUAAACUACAACCUGCAAACUACGUUCGGUACAUGGGUGUAUAACUGUAGCUGUAAAGUUAUCAAUUCGUAAGGGCGUAUGAAUUCUUCAUGGAAAGGCUUUAUGUCGAGAC
rnacentral:lncRNA from 1 species